rnacentral:tRNA from 1 species
UGGCUUAGUGGUUAAGUGCUAUGGUUGCUAACCAUAAGGUUGGGCAGUUCAAAUCUGCC